UUGAACGGACAGUAGCAAUACUGUUAGUGGCGCACGGGUGAGUCCCGUGUACACAACAUGCCUUAUACUGAGGGAUAGCCUUGGGAAACUGGGAGUAAUACCUCAUGGUAUUAUGAUUCGGCAUCGGAUUAUAAUUAAAGAAUUUCGGUAUAAGAUUGGUGUGCGUCUGAUUAGGUAGUUGGUAAGGUAACGGCUUACCGGGCCGGCGAUCAGUAGGGGGCGUGAGAGCGUGAACCCCCACACGGGUACUGAGACACGGACCCGACUCCUACGGGAGGCAGCAGUAGGGAAUAUUGGUCAAUGGAGGCAACUCUGAACCAGCCAUGCCGCGUGAACGAUGAAGGCGCUCUGCGUCGUAAAGUUCUUUUAGAUGGGGCGAAAAUGCGGGAUUUAUCCUGUACUGACGGUACCAUCGGAAUAAGCGCCGGCUAACUCCGUGCCAGCAGCCGCGGUAAUACGGAGGGUGCGAGCGUUAUCCGGAAUCACUGGGUUUAAAGGGUGCGUAGGCGGGUUUUUAAGUCAGAGGUGAAAUGUAAUCGCUUAACGAUUAACUUGCCUUUGAUACUGGGAAUCUUGAAUGACAUUGAGGUUGGCGGAAUGUGACAUGUAGCGGUGAAAUGCUUAGAUAUGUCAUAGAACACCGAUUGCGAAGGCAGCUGACUGGAUGUUUAUUGACGCUG
rnacentral:rRNA from 1 species